AUAGAGUGGGAAUAAGGUGCUAACUUGAUUUGAAGUGGGAAUGUCUAUUUAAUUGCAUUUGUCCUACUCAAAAAUGAAGAAAAUGCAUUAAAAAUAAUAUAGUUCCCUGCCAAGAAAAAAUUUUGGUAGGGAUUUUUUU
rnacentral:sRNA from 1 species